AAUUUUGAAAUUUCAAAUUCUCCCUCCUUAUGAUGUAUAUACCCUAUCAAGAAAGUUGCUUAUUUUGAAGUAGUGAAACGUCUUGGUGAAGCACAGACAAAGCAACCCGGAAGCGGAAUAAAUCUUUUCCCCAAAUUGUCAAAAUAGCCGACAAGGCUCAACACACAAUAGAAAAUCAGCAGUAACAAGCACAAAUAAAUAGCAGCGUAAUAAGUAAAGAACACACGAUAUACGUGGAAACCCCAAAUCGGGGAGAAAACCACGGGACCGCUCAACAACGGUACCAAAACUUUCACUAAUCACCAAGAACCAAGUGGGUACAACAAGUUCUCCUCUCUAGUAAACACUAGAGGCAAAUACAAUCAUCAAGGAGCAACCUUGGCACAACAACAAGCUACAAACUUCACCAAAGGUGGAAAAACACACCAAAAACGCAGGUAUGAAGAUGCUGCCAGAAAACUACCUUCCGGGCGUCAAAACUAGAAA
rnacentral:lncRNA from 1 species